rnacentral:rRNA from 1 species
UACAGAGGUGGCAAGCGUUGUUCGGAAUUACUGGGCGUAAAGGGCGCGUAGGCGGUCUUCUAAGUCAGACGUGAAAUCCCCCGGCUUAACCUGGGAACUGCGUCUGAUACUGGGAGGCUUGAGUAUGGGAGAGGGAUGUAGAAUUCCAGGUGUAGCGGUGAAAUGCGUAGAUAUCUGGAGGAAUACCGGUGGCGAAGGCGGCAUCCUGGACCAUAACUGACGCUGAGGCGCGAAAGCUAGGGGAGCAAACGGG